UUUCAAAACACUGGAUGAAAUGGAUGUGGAAACUGUGAACUGUGCUGUUCAAUUUGUUUUGUUGAGAUAGAGAAGGUGAAUCAUCGUCAGUCUGCUUGCAGGAGAAGAAUAUUCUGUCGGCAACUUUGCCCGCAACGCGCGAAGUCUUGAAGCAACCCCAUCAUCAGCAGCUGUGUCUGAUCGCCGCUUCAUGUUGAAUAUACUUGUGUACAGUAUAUAGUAAUGUUUGAAUAAAUGUUAUAAUAAA